rnacentral:rRNA from 1 species
CUAAUAAUGCAAGUCGAGCGGACAGAUGGGAGCUUGCUCCCUGAUGUUAGCGGCGGACGGGUGAGUAACACGUGGGUAACCUGCCUGUAAGACUGGGAUAACUCCGGGAAACCGGGGCUAAUACCGGAUGGUUGUCUGAACCGCAUGGUUCAGACAUAAAAGGUGGCUUCGGCUACCACUUACAGAUGGACCCGCGGCGCAUUAGCUAGUUGGUGAGGUAACGGCUCACCAAGGCGACGAUGCGUAGCCGACCUGAGAGGGUGAUCGGCCACACUGGGACUGAGACACGGCCCAGACUCCUACGGGAGGCAGCAGUAGGGAAUCUUCCGCAAUGGACGAAAGUCUGACGGAGCAACGCCGCGUGAGUGAUGAAGGUUUUCGGAUCGUAAAGCUCUGUUGUUAGGGAAGAACAAGUGCCGUUCAAAUAGGGCGGCACCUUGACGGUACCUAACCAGAAAGCCACGGCUAACUACGUGCCAGCAGCCGCGGUAAUACGUAGGUGGCAAGCGUUGUCCGGAAUUAUUGGGCGUAAAGGGCUCGCAGGCGGUUUCUUAAGUCUGAUGUGAAAGCCCCCGGCUCAACCGGGGAGGGUCAUUGGAAACUGGGGAACUUGAGUGCAGAAGAGGAGAGUGGAAUUCCACGUGUAGCGGUGAAAUGCGUAGAGAUGUGGAGGAACACCAGUGGCGAAGGCGACUCUCUGGUCUGUAACUGACGCUGAGGAGCGAAAGCGUGGGGAGCGAACAGGAUUAGAUACCCUGGUAGUCCACGCCGUAAACGAUGAGUGCUAAGUGUUAGGGGGUUUCCGCCCCUUAGUGCUGCAGCUAACGCAUUAAGCACUCCGCCUGGGGAGUACGGUCGCAAGACUGAA